UGAGGCGUGAAAGUGGGGGAGAGCAAACAAGUAUUAUAUACCCUGAUAGUCCACGCUAUAAGAUGAUAGAUUAUAGCCGUGGGAUAGCAUGCUAUUCAGUGGCGCAGCUAAUGCAUUAAGCAUCCCGCGUGGGGAGUACGGCCGCAUGGCUAAAACUCGAAGGAAUUGACGGGGGCCCGCACAAGCGGUGGAGCAUGUGGUUUAAUUGGAGGCAACGCGAAGAACCUUACCAGCCCUUGACAUCCCGUCGCGGAUCCAGAGAUGGAUCUUUCGGUUCGGCCGGACGGUGACAGGUGCUGCAUGGUUGUCGUCAGCUCGUGUGGUGAGAUAUUGGGUUAAGUCCCGCAACGAGCGCAACCCUUGUCCCUAGUUGCCAGCAUUAAGUUGGGCACUUUAGGGAGACUGCCAGUGAUAAGCUUGAGGAAGGUGGGGAUGACGUCAAGUCAUCAUGGCCCUAACGGGGUGGGCUACACACGUGCUACAAUCGUGGUGACAGGGGGCAGUUACUCGGCAAGGAGAUGCUAAUCUAUAAAAGCCACCUCAGUUCAGAUUGCUCUGCACAACUAGGACGCAAAAAGUUGGAAUCUCUAGUAAUCGGGGAUCCGCAUGCCGGGGAGAACACGUUCCCGGGCAGUGUACACCCCCCCUCUCACCCCAGGAGAGGAGGUCUUCAGAGAUGGCGGGCGCUUACUUUCGGGAGGCACAUGCCCACGCAAGAUCACCGACUGGGGCGAAGUCCUAACAAGGUAACC
rnacentral:rRNA from 1 species